GGAGAGAAGAGGAAAAGUGAGGAGAGGAGAUGGGAGUGUGGCAGAAAGGUGAAGAAGAGGUGAGAGCAGACAGAGGGCAUGCAGUUUAAAAGGACCCACUAUGACACAAGAAGAGCAGAUUUUAUAAGACCCACAGAGUAAACAGUGAGUAGGAGGACUGCUGCAGAGGGAUGUCAGAAAUGUUCCUCCAUGGCUGACAACAACAACUACAGACACGUCUGUGACUGCGAUGAACACCUGAGUGUAAGACGAGGACUGAAUAUGAUACUUUAACCUUUAAGAGUCAAAUAUGAAUGUGUGUAACAGUGCAUGAUUAUGUAUUAUACAUAUAUCAGAAAUAUGUGAAAUUUAACAGCAUGUCAAAUCUAUCUGAACAUGGAAACCAGUGUUAAAACCAUUUCAGUCUCAGUCAGUGUUACUGAAACAUUCACUUCAUCUCCAACAGCAAGUCACUGACACAGACAGUUGGAGCAGUUACAGUCAAAUCAUUGAUCAGUGUUUUUAUAACAUUAGCUGCUGUUGCUGCACUAGUGCUGCUGCUAUCUUUUUCUUAUUGUAGGUCUAGCUAACAAUAUCAAGUGUCUUCAUAUGACUGUUGUCUAAUGUUCAAAUGUAGAUAACACCACCUGCACCACCCUGUUACACAGCACAGCCCUCUCAUGUAGGCUUGGCUGCAGCGCAUAUUAGCAGCUCCAGUGACAUCAGCUUUCUGUGCAGUACACACUAGACAGGAGAUCCCGCUCCAUAGUGUCAUCACAUCUACAGACUGUUACAUAUUCUCACCUGGUAAUAAGAAGCUGCACACAGCUCGAAGAUUAACAGACUGAAGUAAAUACAAAUGAAAGUUACAGUAAACUAAAAUCUUGGAAACACAACAUGAAACAGCGUGGGAAAUAUGUUAAUGUUGCAUAAAACAUCUGAUAUUUAUAUGAUCCAUAUUUGAGGUGGGAUGGGCUUAUCCACCCACUCUCACACCAUCAUAUCACGAUCCUGGGUUAGUGUCUUGGUCUCAGGUCACAACAUCAGCACAGUUUUGGCUUGGGUGAAGUAGUUGGGUGGUUCUUGUUGUCCCUGACAGCUGCAGGGACAGUGCCAUCAGCCAUGCAGCAGCACAAUGACUGCUCAAGGAAAGUCAGUGUGGCUCAGUCUACUGUAAACAUUGUCCUAAAGUGGCUGCAAGCUGGCUGUACAUGCACUGUGUCCAAUACUCCCAGUACGUGCACCUGCAGAUGAUAUCCACAAACCUCUGAGUGUCACAGAGUGGGCCUGUGUUCAGGUCACUCUGCCCCAUUGAAUUCUACUUACAGAGUUUUACAAGUGUGAGUAAAGUUAUAUAUACAAGUUGGUGGCUGAUAAGUUAUUGUAGUGACACGUAACCCCGUGGUUCUUAUUGGUUAAUAGUAGCUUAGAGCAUCUGCACCAAUCAUAAAAGCACCAAGUUUGGAGCACGUGGGUCUCUGCAAGUAAGUCCCUGUAAUGUUGGCCAAGCCUUAUAUACUAGAAACAUCUGUCAUUACCAGCAGAUAAAGCUGCCCUUAAAGCAGGAUCUCACUUUAAACCUGAAAAAAGAAUUUGCUAUUAGCAUACUAUGGUUAUAUGUCUCUCUCUCCUGUCUCUCACCUAUCUGCCUGGGCGGAGCUCAGCUGGGCUCCGCCCUUGGCCCACGCACCUGCCGUGAAUCUACCUGAUGACCUGGACUCCUGGGCUAUUUAAGCGGAGGGCUCAGAAGGCUUCUUCGCUGGGUUGUGGACUUACUCUCGUUCUUGUACUCGUCCGUAACCCCGAUCGGUUUCCCUGGUGGCGUGGAGUGGAGUGAGAGUGAGUGUGCUGGAAACAAAUACGAGAGGUGCGAGUGAGCGGAGCGUGUUUGGAUUCAGAAGAGUGCCGAAGACAAACUGGGAAGGAGCGAGUGAGCAGAGUGUGUGCUGGACUUUGUCCCCUUUUCCCCUGGACCAUUGCACAUCCUGCCCUGUACACGUGGGGUUUUGUAAAUAAAUAUACGACUGCUGUUCUAGUUCAGCUGGUCUGCGCCUGGUGACAGGUGCAAUUAUUAUAUGACAUUUUAUUAUUGUAUUGUAUUAUUCAUCCAUUCACCUCUACUUUUCUUGCAUUACAUCACAUAGUCAGUAUAAAUAUGUUUUUUAAUGAAUGAUGAAAGUCGGAUGAAUUUAAUGAGCCCUUGUUGAGAGAGAUGGGACAGAGAGAGACAGAAGUCCCCCCCUCACCUCUUAUUGCCUCUGAGAGAAAUAAAAAGGUAUUAACAUUUAGGCUGUUAUGUUUACAAUGAUUUGAAGUGCUAUUAGUAAAUCAUCUUAAUUCUUAAUCAGAAUAGAAGUUUAAUGAAUAUGUUGAAUGAGAAAUUUGGUAAUUGACAUUAUUUAAAUGUGUAGAUUUUGUGUGUGUAGACGUGCCUCAGCUUUGCCCUUGAAAGAUUAGUGUGUGUGGCUGCAGGAAUGUUGAAAGAUAAGAAAUGUGCCAGAACUCCAUCCUGAUAAAAGACAGGAUAUUAAGAGUUAACAAUAGAGUCAUAAUUCAUAUGUGAUUUUGCUGAUAGUUAAUCCUGCUUAACUGACUGAAACUGUUUAGAAUACAAUCAAGUUUAACCAAAGCACCGAAUAAGAAAAUAUGAUAAUAACUCUGUAGGCCCCAUACUGAGAGUCUGUGUGGAAAGGAUGGGAGGAGCCACUAAUCUAACAUUAACAUGUAAAUAAAAUCAAUUAUACUGAA